rnacentral:rRNA from 1 species
UACGUAGGGUGCGAGCGUUGUCCGGAAUUAUUGGGCGUAAAGAGCUUGUAGGCGGUUUGUCGCGUCUGCUGUGAAAUCUCAAGGCUCAACCUUGAGCUUGCAGUGGGUACGGGCAGACUAGAGUGUGGUAGGGGAGACUGGAAUUCCUGGUGUAGCGGUGAAAUGCGCAGAUAUCAAGAGGAACACCUGAGGUGAAGACGGGUUGCUGGGCUGACACUGACGCUGAGGCGCGAAAGCUAGGGUAGCAAACGGG